GGCUUCGUAGUUCAAUUGGUAGAAAAUUUGCAACAUUUGGGCAUGUUGUUUCUGUCGCUGGUUCGAAUACAGCCGAAAUCC